UACGUAGGGGGCAAGCGUUGUCCGGAUUUAUUGGGCGUAAAGAGCGUGUAGGCGGCCUGAAAGGUGAGCUGUGAAAACUCGAGGCUCAACCUCGAGACGUCGGUUGAAACCAUCUGGCUAGAGUCCGGAAGAGGAGAGUGGAAUUCCCGGUGUAGCGGUGAAAUGCGCAGAUAUCGGGAAGAACACCCGUGGCGAAGGCGGCUCUCUGGGACGGUACUGACGCUGAGACGCGAAAGCGUGGGGAGCGAACAGG
rnacentral:rRNA from 1 species